UACAGAGGGGGCAAGCGUUGUUCGGAAUUACUGGGCGUAAAGGGCGCGUAGGCGGCCUGCUAAGUCGAACGUGAAAUCCCCGAGCUCAACUCGGGAACUGCGUCCGAUACUGACAGGCUUGAAUCCGGGAGAGGGAUGCGGAAUUCCAGGUGUAGCGGUGAAAUGCGUAGAUAUCGGGAGGAACACCUGAGGCGAAGGCGGGCUACUGGGCCGAUACUGACGCUGAGGCGCGAAAGCCAGGGGAGCGAACGGG
rnacentral:rRNA from 1 species